CACAAAAGCAUUCGCAUCAUAAGGGGUAUUAAAGUACAGUUUGUAUAGAGUCGCUGCAAGGGGGUUUAUGCGCUUAAGUCCAUCAAGAUUUUUGCAAGAAGAACACAGGCUUCUCCUUUAAAAGAGAGCUCAUACAGAUUUAUGUCAUGUUGUUUGAUUUUACUGUCAUUUGGAGACACGCUACCGGCAGCAAAUGUAUUACUAUCUUUGUUUGUAUUGGUGCUAUUUUCCAUUUCGCUUCGCUCUCAGAUGCACGCUUUACUCCUGACGCCACUAUGGUGGCGUCAGCCAUCUUCGCUGGUGGUUUCACCAGCCUGCCAGGGACUUACCAGCUUCUAUAAAUGAAAAGCACUAUUAGGACCGACAAAGUAUAAUAAUUAGUUGAAGCUCUUUGAUUCAAGAGGUUUUUAGAUCUUAAAAUCAGCAGAAAACAGUCGACGAUUGCACAUUAAACAAGAUUGAACAAAGGGAGUUAAGAAAAAACACCGGAAAAAA